CGCAAGMGUGAACUAGCUAACUGGAAUCAUGAGUGUGUCACURRRGAUAACGUAAAGGAAAAAUAAUGAUACCACUUKUCUAUUAGUGUUGCCCAAAGCUGGUGCCAGAAGACUCGGUAAUGCCAGAGACGCAAGCGUUACUCAUCUUUAUCAGGCGUAAAGGGUUUUUAGGCUGCUUYAUAAAUAUAAAAAUAAUAAUAAAGCUAGAAUCAUAUAGAGGUCACCGUCAGAUAACUCUUGGAGGUAGGGUUGACAUCCGAAAAUACUAAGGGGAAUUCUAAUUAGCGAAGGCUCUUUUCCAAAUAAUGAUUGACGCUGAGAAACGAAGGUGAGGAUCGACAAUAGGAUUAGAUACCCUGGCAUCCCUCUCUGUCAACGAUGAAUGGUGGUUGCUAGUUUAAUAGAGCUAGUGGCGAUGUUAACACGAUAACCAUUCCGCCUUGUGAGUACAAUUGCAAAGUUGGAAMCCAAAAAAUUAGUCGGUUUCGGAGCAAACGAAGUGAAGCAU
rnacentral:rRNA from 1 species